rnacentral:tRNA from 1 species
GCGGCCGUAGUCUAGCCUGGUUAGGACUUCGGCUUCCCGAGCCGACUACCCGGGUUCGAAUCCCGGCGGCCGCACCA